AUGAUGCAGAGUGUGGUAAAUGCCACAUAGUAAGGCCACAAGGAGAGGGUUUGGAGCCAUUGAUGUUACCUAGAAUCAAAUAAUUCUAUGGUGGAGACAAAGAUACUCAGGAGAGCACCUGCAUCUCAUCUGGACCAAAAGGAAUGGACACAACUGUCUGGAUGAGCUGUGGCACAGGCAUUCUGCCAAGAAGAGGAAGCUGGCAGAAGAGGCCUUGGUAAGUCUGAAUUCUUGCCUCAGUUCUGGUACUGAGUUCUCCCUGCACAUUACAUUCCUACUGUGAACCAUUCACUCCUCCCUUCCUCCAUUAAUUUAUCUAAUUGAUAUCUAUUAAACAAAUGCCUACCAUGUUCUUGACCCUGAGCCACAUGUGAGAGAUUCACCAGGCAACAAGACAGAUGGGAGGAGCCCCACUGCUAUGGUCAAAUGUUUGUGUUUUCCCAAAAUUCGUAUGUUGAAACCUAACUCCCAAAAUGAUGGUGUUAGAAAGUGGGACCACUGGGAGAUGAUUAGGUCAUGAGGGAUUAACAUCAUUAUAGAAGAGACCCCAAAAUGUUAGCUGGUCCUUUCACCACAUGAAGACACAGCUAGAAGACACCACCUAUUAACCAAAAAGUGGGCGUCAGCAGACACCAAAUCUGUUGGCACUUUGUUCAUGGACUCCCUAGGCUCCAGUACUGUCAGAAAUAAAUGUCUGUUGUUUAUAAGCCACCUAGUUUAUGGUAUUUUGUUAUAGCAAGCCAAAUGGACUAAGACACCCCACCCUUGUGAAGGCGACAGAGGACUAGAAAUAAUGAACAAAUCUGCACUGAGCAUAACCCAUGAUGCAUAGUACUGCAGAACAGUGCUGUACAGUGCUCUUCAGGGCCUCACAGGAGGUGCAGAUGGGUGCCGUUGACAACACAGAGAGAAGAGAGAACCUAAACAAUGAAACAAGUCCCCUGCCCACGUGCUGUCAGACACUGGAGAAAAGAACAAAACCAAAGAAAAGCCACUGAGCAAACACAAUGGCCUUGUCUUCUACCUUUCUUGUGGCACAAUGCAGGACUGGACAGCACUGUCCUCCCCAUCCCAUCUCCUUCCCUCCCUCUACUCUCACCCCCCUCCACCAGCCUUCCUGCUCCCAAAGCACGUUACUGACUAGCAGCUUGCCAGUCCAGAUUGUAGUUUUAAUCCACCAACUAGUAUUGCAGCUCAUAGAAUGGCUUUGGAUUUAUGAAACAGGCUGAGGGGAAAUAAAGUACCCUAGUUUGUAGAUAAUAAAAGCUAAGAGUGGUGCAUCCAGGGAGAGAGGUGGGGUGCCAGGGGUUCUUAGGAAGGUAGUGGUACCACCUACUGCCAGAGUCUCUUUUGAAUUGGCUUUAUCCAGGAGUCCCAAAAGCCCUUUAAACUACUUCAUGGUAGCCUUUGACAGAGAACUCUUUGGCAGUGACUUGGAGAGGGUUUAUGAAGACAGUGCUCAGGCUUUGGUCAUGACACAGGCAGAUUGGGGAUGGAGUGGUACAUGUUUGAUUACAGUGUGUGUUGAGGGGCAAGGGGGCAGGUCUUGGUACAAUGACAACUAGCACGAGACCUUGAACUCAACAUGGAUUUUAAAAGUGUUUGUUUAAUGCAUGAAUAAAACAAUGCUCAUGAUAUUUUGUGGUCUUUAGUGACCAAUCAUAGUAGACGUCUUAGAAUUACCAAGCCCUAAGGAAUACUAAAACCCAGUCUAAUAAACUCAGUAAAACCAAGAGUGGACUCUAAUGUAAACUGUGGACUUUUGGAUGUACCUCUCUGGUGGGGAAUGUUGAUAAUGGAGGAGGCUAGGCUUGUGUGGGGGUGGCGAACACAUGGAAAAUCUCUGUAUCUUUUGCUUAUUUUUCUGUGAACCUAAAACUGAUCUAAAAAAAAGUAUAUAAAAAAUUCAUAGCCACAUAAAUUGGCAGUCAGAUCUGGUGAUUCAGCUGAACCUUUAUCUAAGCAUAUAGAAAAGAACACAUAUUUUCUGAUGUUUGAAAAAAUUGCUGUUUUACCUUGAAACUAAUAAAACAAAAUUGGCACAACUUAUUUUUUAAAUGCAGUAAAAAUACUUAGUCUGUCCUACAGCCUAUAUUCAUCUACUGUGGACAUCAUUUCCUCGCCAUGAAAUUUCCGUGGAAUCUAUAGGAGGCAAACCUGGGAUUAAAGCCUGAAUUUGCCAUUUAAUAAUGAGAAAACCUUGGAAAAGUCUGUCUAUCUGGAUGACUGUCAGUCCAGCAGAGACAUAGAAAUGUGCCAUAAAUAACCGAAUGCAUCACAAAAACAGAACAGGAGCUACGAGUGUUACUGAAGGCUUGAUUUGAGUUCUCACCUGAGAAACGGACACCCCCUAGCCCACUCCCACAGUUCACACUGGUUCUUCUACCUACAAGCCGAGUCUUCACUUUCUUAAAAGGGGACGUGGACAUGAAUUGACUAGGCCACACAUUUAUCAAUUUGAAGCCAUUACUUUGCUUCACAGAUGUAGAAGCCCCAUUUCUCGACAAAGAAGAGGAAAGAAAGAGGAAAAAUGAAGGAAUAAAUGAUAGAAGUAAAGAAAAAUGUAAAUAAACUUUCUCGUCUACACAGAAUAAAAGGAUCCAGUCUAGCCAACUAGACAAAAGUUAGUUUCUCAAUACUAACAUGCCUGGUGCCUCUCUUCUGUUUCCAGCCCUGGAAUAAUAAGUUUCACUUUUUCAUUUCUUCACCCAAAAUAAAACUUGAACUGCUCACUUCCUCAUCUUUUCAUUUGCAGAUCUCAAAAGCAGCCUCUUCCACAUCUACCCUUGGGGCAUGUCUGGCCCACUCCCCUACAG
rnacentral:lncRNA from 1 species